rnacentral:rRNA from 11 species
AAUUACAUUAUUAUGUAUUCUAAAGGUUCCAGAUCCUACCUGAUCUCAGACACUAAGCAGGGUCAGCUGUGGUCAGUACAUGGAUGGGAAACCAACAACAAAUACCAAGUGGUGUAGGCU